rnacentral:rRNA from 1 species
CGGCGAGUGAAGCGGCAAGAGCUCAAAUUUGAAAGCUGGCCCCUUCGGGGUCCGCGUUGUAAUUUGCAGAGGAUGCUUCGGGUGCAGCCCCCGUCUAAGUGCCCUGGAACGGGCCGUCAUAGAGGGUGAGAAUCCCGUCUGGGACGGGGUGUCUGCGUCCGUGUGAAGCUCCUUCGAAGAGUCGAGUUGUUUGGGAAUGCAGCUCUAAAUGGGUGGUAAAUUUCAUCUAAAGCUAAAUACUGGCCGGAGACCGAUAGCGCACAAGUAGAGUGAUCGAAAGAUGAAAAGCACUUUGAAAAGAGAGUUAAACAGCACGUGAAAUUGUUGAAAGGGAAGCGUUUGCGACCAGACUCGCUCGCGGGGUUCAGCCGGCAUUCGUGCCGGUGUACUUCCCCGUGGGCGGGCCAGCGUCGGUUUGGGCGGCCGGUCAAAGGCCCUCGGAAUGUAUCACCUCUCGGGGUUGUCUUAUAGCCGAGGGUGCAAUGCGGCCUGCCCGGACCGAGGAACGCGCUUCGGCUCGGACGCUGGCGUAAUGGUCGUAAAUGACCCGUCUUAAAACCGGAACCAAACGGGGACAGCUUCCGAGGCUAAUCGCGUUUCCUUGGUCCCGGUCAGGCCGCAUUGCACCCU